UUCCAUGUAUGAUGAUACAAAUAAUUUACAGUUAUCCCUGUCUGAGAUAUAUCUGCUGAAAACAUGUAAUCUGACAUGGAA
rnacentral:snoRNA from 1 species